AUUGAACGCUGGCGGCAGGCCUAACACAUGCAAGUCGAGCGAGCGGCGGACGGGUGAGUAAUGUAUGGGGACUGCCCGAUCGAGGCGGAUAACUACUGGAAACGGUAGCUAAUACCGCAUACUAUCGGAUAACCCAUAUGGGAUAAGCUAGUAGGUGAGGUAAUGGCUCAACUAGGCGACGAUCCCUAGCUGGUCUGAGAGGAUGAUCAGCCACACUGUGACUGCGACACGGCCCAGACGCCUACGGAGGCAGCAGUGGGGAAUAUUGCACAAUGGGAGCAAGCCUGAUGCAGCCAGGCCGCGUGUAUGAAGAAGGCACUAGGGUUGUAAAGUACUUUCAGUCGGGAGGCGUUACCGACAGAAGAAGCACCGGCUAACUCCGUGCCAGCAGCCGCGGUAAUUC
rnacentral:rRNA from 1 species